rnacentral:rRNA from 1 species
AAUGAACGUUGGCGGCGUGGAUUAGGCAUGCAAGUCGAGCGAGAACCCAGCAAUGGGGGACAGCGGCGCAAGGGACAGUAAUGUGUAGAUCAUCUGCCCUCAGGUCCGGGAUAGCUGCGGGAAACUGCAGGUAAUACCGGAUAACAUCUCCGGAUCAAAGGUGUGAUUCCGCCUGAGGAUGAGUCUACAUCCUAUUAGCUAGUUGGUAGGGUAACGGCCUACCAAGGCGAUGAUGGGUAGCGGGUGUGAGAGCACGACCCGCGUCAUUGGGACUGAGACACUGCCCAGACACCUACGGGUGGCUGCAGUCGAGAAGCUUCGGCAAUGGGCGCAAGCCUGACCGAGCGACGCCGCGUGUGGGAUGAAGGCCUUCGGGUUGUAAACCACUGUCAGAGGGGAUGAAAUGCAGGUGGGUUCUCCCAUCUGUUUGACAUAGCCUCAGAGGAAGGACGGGCUAAGUUCGUGCCAGCAGCCGCAGUAAUAC